GCUGGAUCAUGUAGUGAUGGAUGCUUGUAAUCCAAGCUACUUGGGAGGUGAACCAGCCCAGUUUGGAAAUGAAGUAGGUCAAAACUUCUGUGCUGAUCAGUAGCGUGAUUGUGCCUGUGAAUAGCCACUGCUUUCCAGCCUGGACAACAUAAUGAGACCCCAUCCCU
rnacentral:sRNA from 1 species